UACGAACCAAAAUAUCCAGCUCAUUCUCACCCCUUACCCACGUAUUCUUCCUUCAUCCUAUACUCUAUCAUCUUGCUUACACUCUUUCUAAAUGGUACAAAGCAUGGGUUGUGAUUUGAUAGAAGGUAUGGAUCAUAUGAGAGUGUAUGUGUGUGUUCGUGGCUAUAAAAGGGAGCCUUGGAUCCUCAUGUUCCUCACAAAACUUCCAGCUAUCUUCUCUUCCUCUAAAACGUCCCUAUCUCUCUCUAAAACCACCUUCCAUCUCUUUCCCGGUUUACCACCAAGAACACCCAAAAACCACCAUCCUAACACCACCAAUUCACCAUCAUUCUACUACCUUAACCUUCCUUAUAACCCCUUGUUCAUGAACACAUACCUAGCCUCCUUACCUCACUAUUUUCCAUAUCAAAAGGAGGAAGAGACACGAAGUCAGCCACCACGCUGCCACCCAUCGCCACCUCCUGUUUAUUUUUUUUGCUGCCGCUGAAACUAAAUAAAUCUUGACGGUUCGUUAUCAAAGCGACACUUCUCGGUUUCUCGCAUCAAAUACUCGAAACAAAUCAUCAACCACCCUUUAAGGUGAGUGUUACGGCCCCACUUUUACAUAUUUUCGUGGAGGGGAAUACAGGUAGUACUUGUAUAUCUAGUAUAUAUCUAUUUUCAAAAUACUUUGUUUAAACAUACAACACUGCCGUUUUUAUGCAAUAUAAUUCACAAAAAGAAUAUUGUUUAUCACGCUACUACUUACGGUACGUGUAGUAAGUAAUAUUUACCAUACAAAAUACACACAAAAAAAAUAUCAUUGUUUUGUGUAAAUACUUUACCAGUUUUAGAAAUAAUUGUUUAAACGCUUACAUGUUAAGUAAACAAAAUCGUUUUAAACCUCAAUACUUUUAUAUGUUAUUUUGUUAAGAUAAUACGAUUAAUAAAAAUAUCAUAUACGUUCCGACAAAAAUUGUGCUAAAACUGUAUAGUCGGUUAUCAACUUGGUAGUCUAAUUAUACCUCAUACAUACAUAGAAACAUAUAAGUUUAUAUAGUUAUAAAUGUAUUGUACUCUUCAAUGUGUACGCUUAUCAAAUAUACUUGUCAAUUACCUGUUUAUCCGUAUCUGUGGUUGUUAAGUUCAACCUUGGCAGAUAACUUCAUCCGUAUAUCCGUAUGUCUGUUUAUGACAAAAAUAUAUAGGUUUAUACGUUUAUACAAGUUAUAGAACUUGUAUCUUAGGCUCAUACAUGUGCUUGUGUACACUAUACUAAGUUUGUCAACUGUUUAAACAAGUAUCGUACACUUUAUAUGUAUGAUUAUCAAAUAUACUUGUUGUUUAUCCGUAUCUGCGAUUAUUAAGUUCAACCUUGGCAGAUAAUUGUAUCCGUAUAUGCGUAUGUUUGUUUAUCCGUCUCUGCGGUUGUGAAUUACAACCUUGGCAGAAAACUUUCUUCGUUACCCGUAUAACCAUGGAUUUGGUUGCUUUCAAACAAAAUUUUAAGUAUGGAAUUACUUAUGGAACAUAACGUUUUGGCUUCAAAGAUUCAUUUCAAACACAAUUUUAAGUAUGGGAUUACUUAUGGAACAUAACGUUUUGGCUUCAAAGAUUCAUUACAAACACAGUUUUAAGUAUGGAAUUACUUAUGAAACAUAACAUUUUGGCUUUCAAAGAUUCAUUACAAACACAGUUUUACGUAUGGGUUUACUUAUACAAACUAUACAUUUUGUCUUUUAAAGACUCAUUGCAAACACUGUUUAACUGUUGUUAUACAUACAAAGAUAAUACUUUUUAGACAUACUAAAAGUAUUACUGCGUUAGCAGAAAACCUAUGACACUCACCAACCUUUGUGUUGAAUUUCAAACUUACAUGUAUUCUUAGGGGAUCAUCAGACAGGCUUUCAGGAAGAAGAUUAGUCGUGGAUUGCAGACGAUCUAGCUAGCUUGUUCCUGUUAUUUGUUUAUCUGUUAAAGGCAACUAAUGUACUAUUAUUAUCUGUAAGAACCCUGUAUUCAAACUUAAUGAAAGAAUACAAAUGCUAUUUUGUUUAUCGUUGUACUUGUGCUAUAUAUUCAGUUUAUCUGUGAUCCAUGAACUCAGUCCCGCUCCCGGCGUGUUCCGCCUUGGCCGGGGGUGUGACAGAAUGGUAUCAGAGCUAAAUUGGCUAUAGAGAACUCGUAUCCUCGAAAGAGGAAUACAACUAUAGCAGACUAGCUUCUAAUAAAAGUAUUAUUAAUAAUAACAUUAUUUCUCGACUACUUAUGCCGUUUGAUGUCCGGCCAUCGUCUGUACUCGGUAUUCGGGAAGAACAAACAAAAUUUAAUAAUACUACAAACCCCACCAACCAUAAUAUAUAAGAGUUUAUAUAUACUCUGGCCCACGAUGAGAACACUUAAUAAAAUUUUAACAUCCCUUCAACUAAAACUACAACUCAACCCUUUAGGUCAGACGCCUCAAUUAGGGUUAGUACCGUACAUAAGUCAUACCAUAAAUAAAUCUGGAAUGCGCACCUAUGUUAUUUAUGGUCAGGCCGGUGCACAACCAACCCUGAGCAAGGAGUCUGACAGACUACAACGGUUGAAUGUUUUAGAGAUUGAAGGAUGUUCUCCAGAUUCGCUACAGCAACCUAGUACCUUAGAAUCCAUACAUACAUUUUAAAACACUUACAAUUCAUUAGCAAUUAAGGUCCCCUUUCUAUCCUUUCGAAAUCUAAAGGAUUUCUAAACCAAGCACCUUUUCCUUAUCAUUUGGAAAUCUAGAGGAUUUCUAAAUCAAUCCUCUUUUUGUUAUAAUUUAUAGGAUAUCACAAGCAAACUAUAUCAUAAAAUGCAUCCCAUGCAUACUUGUUAGGACUUUAUAGUAUUAACAAAACUUAACAUGUUCGUUUUAAACAUAUUAGGAGAUGGCCCCACGAAAGCAACCGGGAGUUCGUCCACCGCCAACUCCCCGAGGCAACUCGAGGAGAACCCCACCAAUAACUCAAACAUCAGUGGAAACGCCAAACCAGGGAGGAGACCCAGAAGUAACAAAUGUAAACCAAACAUUCCAAAUGAAUUCCGCCAUGAUGCUGAACAUGCUCGCACAAGGAAUUGCUACGGCUUUGGCAGCAUACGAGGCAGCCCGAAAUGGAAACACUGGAAAUAGUGGAAGUGACACUACCGCAACUCACCAACGCAACACCAAACACUGCUCCUAUAAGGAUUUCAUGAGCUGCAAACCUCGACCCUUCUACGGCACUGAAGGAGUUGUUGGGUUAUCCCGUUGGAUGGAAAAGACUGAGGAUGUCUUCCACAUCAGUGCUUGACCCGAUGACUGUAGGGUUAAGUACGCUACCUGCACGUUGAUGGACUCCGCCUUAACUUGGUGGAAUAACCAUGCGAAGUCCAUGGGAAUCGCUGAAGCUUAUGCCAUGGGUUGGGAAUCACUGAAGCAACUAAUGACCAAGGAGUAUUGUCCCUGACAGGAGAUACAAGCUCUAGAGCAAGACCUUUGGAACCUUGUCAUGAAAGGAUCAGAAGUAGCUGCCUACACCUCUCGAUUCAAUGACCUUGCAAACCUUUGCCCAGGAAUGGUGACCCCGGAAGACAGGAAGAUUGAAAGGUACAUCUGGAGCCUAGCUUCACCUGUUCAAGGUCUGGUGACGGCAUCCAAACCCUCCACUUUCGAUAGUGCUAAGCAAUUAGCCUAUCAGUUGAGUGGACAGUGUGUCCGGCAGCGUACCAUGAACCCACCGGCAGAGAAGAAGAAGACUGGAGGCACAAAAAGGAAGUUUCAUGGGGAAACAAAGGAGGAAUCCAAGCAUCACAAGGUUGAACCAGAACCAUUAGCUGUCUACGCCGCAGUUACCAACACUCCCACACCAACUAAGUCCUACUCUGGGACUUUACCUCAUUGUAUAAAGUGCAAUUUCCAUCAUGUCGGAAAUUACAGGGAGGUGAUCUGCAACAAGUGUAACAUGAGAGGUCACAUCUCGAGGUACUGUAGAAGAAACCCAACCACUACGGCAGAAGUAAGUCGUAACUGUUACGAGUGCAAUCAGCCAGGGCAUUUUAGGAAGGAUUACCCACAACUAAAGAACCAAGGUGGCAAUGGAAGGGUACUUAUGAUCACAGUAGGAGAGGCUCUUUCGGAACCACUUGUGGCUAUUGGUACGUUUCAUAACAACAAUGUUUAGGCCUCGGUAUUUAUUAAUCCUAGUGCUAAUUAAAGUUUUAUCGACCAUUGGUUUCAAAACGCGACUAAACAUGAAACCUAUGCAGUAGCUAUAACAAAAAGUACUUGCUAGUUGCCUUAUCACCCAAGUUAAUCAUGCCAUUCACAUAGAAACUAAGGACCCUUGCUGGUAAUCUAUGCUUGCUAAAUUUAUACGUUAGGGUUGUAUAUAAUUAAGAUUCUACAGACUUAGGAUUUGUGAUUCCGCUUUACUUCCUGUUCCUUGUUUGGUUGUGGGCUUAGAGUAGAAUCACUUAUUCGACUGUCUAUUCAAUCUUGCUUAUAUACGACUUAUAUUCACCAAGGGAAUGUAGAAGGACCGGCCAGGGAUCAUGCGCCACGUAAGUACAUUACUAUUUAUCGAUAUGGCAAAAGUACUCCCUAGUUGCUUUCUCACCUGAAUUAAUCACAUCAUUCAUAUAGAAACUAAGGACCCUUGCUGGUAAUCUAUAAUUGCUAAGUGUAUAAGUUGGGGUUAUAUAUAAUUAAGAUUCUAAAGACUUAGGAUUUGUGAUUCCACCUUACUUCCUGUUCCUUGUUUGGUUGUGGGCUUAGGGUAGAAUCACUUAUUCGACAGUCUGUUCGAUCUUGAUUAUAUACGACUUGUAUACACCAAACGAUUAUAGAAGGACCAGGCAGGGAUCAUGUACCAUGAGAUUACAUUACUAUUUAUCGAAGCCCUAGUACUACCAGUACCAACUUAAUUUCGGGACAAAAUUUCCUUUAACGGGGAGGUAAUGUGACAACCCGAAAUUUAGGGCUACUAUUAUAACCGUCAAUCUAUCCAUGAAUCUCUUGUUUAUCCGAAUUACUGAUUUUUAAUGCACCUAAAGUAAAACAAAUAAUUUUAUUCCAUUUAUUAUAUGAUGUCAUAUGAUACAUUGCUUCCGAGUGUGUAAAUCGUCAACAUAAUCAAACCGCUUAAAUGACAACGUUAAUCAAUGCGUCUGAAAAACUGAAAUUUUGCAUUAAGUAGUUUUGAGAAAAAAAAACAUUAAAAUAUUAUAGUAAAUGUUCCCCUAUUUCCGAAAAUAUAAAGAAUGUCUAAAACGGAGUUUGUAUGCAAAAGAUACGACAGUUUUAAGAAAACAGACAGUAAAACACUGUUUUUCUUUAACCGCGUAAAACCGAAUCGAUCCGUUGACGCACUUACACUUUGCCGACAGGAUUUCCGAGGGCGUUUUCGGACUCAGACUAUAGUCUAUUAUUUAAUUUCACACUCGAAAUAAUUUUUACGAAAAUAUUCACAAAAGUCGCGAAAACGGACACCGCGAGCCGUUUAAACGCAAAACUUUAAAUGCGAUUUCCCGGAGUUCCGUAACUCCAAAAAUUAAUCAGUUUAAUGUUUUGGAAUCCUUGAAUUAAACUCUAUCUAAAGGUAUUUUCUAAAAAUAUUCUCGACGCACAGAUCCCGAUGCACCCGAUUUUGUGUGUUUUUGAGCAAUUAAUGAAUGAACAUACAACCCAAUGUGGGACCCACUAGGCUUGUACGAACCAAAAUAUCCAGCUCAUUCUCACCCCUUACCCACGUAUUCUUCCUUCAUCCUAUACUCUAUCAUCUUGCUUACACUCUUUCUAAAUGAUACAAAGCAUGGGUUGUGAUUUGAUAGAAGGUAUGGAUCAUAUGAGAGUGUAUGUGUGUGUUUAUGGCUAUAAAAGGGAGCCUUGGAUCCUCAUGUUCCUCACAAAACUUCCAGCUAUCUUCUCUUCCUCUAAAACGUCCCUAUCUCUCUCUAAAACCACCUUCCAGCUCUUUCCCGGUUUACCACCAAGAACACCCAAAAACCACCAUCCUAACACCACCAAUUCACCAUCAUUCUACUACCUUAACCCUCCUUAUAACCCCUUGUUCAUGAACACAUACCUAGCCUCCUUACCUCACUGUUUUCCAGAUCAAAAGGAGGAAGAGACACGAAGUCAGCCACCACGCUGCCACCCAUCGCCACCUCCUGUUUAUUUUUUUUGCUGCCGCUGAAACUAAAUAAAUCUUGACGGUUCGUUAUCAAAGCGACACUUCUCGGUUUCUCGCAUCAAAUACUCGAAAUAAAUCAUCAACCACCCUUUAAGGUGAGUGUUACGGCCCCACUUUUACAUAUUUUCGUGGAGGGGAAUACAUGUAGUACUUGUAUAUCUAGUAUAUAUCUAUUUUCUAAAUACUUUGUUUAAACAUACAACACUGCCGUUUUUAUGCAAUAUAAUUCACAAAAAAAAUAUUAUUUAUCACGCUACUACUUACGGUACGUGUACUAAGUAAUAUUUACCAUACAAAAUACACAAAAAAAAUAUCAUUGUUUUGUGUAAAUACUUUACCAGUUUUAGAAAUAAUUGUUUAAACGCUUACAUGUUAAGUAAACAAAAUCGUUUUAAACCUCAAUACUUUUAUAUGUUAUUUUGUUAAGAUAAUACGAUUAAUAAAAAUAUCAUAUACGUUCCAACAAAAAUUGUGCUAAAACUGUAUAGCCGGUUAUCAACUUGGUAGUCUAAUUAUACCUCAUACAUACAUAGAAACAUAUAAGUUUAUAUAGUUAUAAAAGUAUUGUACUCUUCAAUGUGUACGCUUAUCAAUAUACUUGUCAAUUACCUGUUUAUCCGUAUCUGUGGUUGUUAAGUUCAACCUUGGCAGAUAACUUCAUCCGUAUAUCCGUAUGUCUGUUUAUGACAAAAAUAUGUAGGUUUAUACGUUUAUACAAGUUAUAGAACUUCUAUCCUAGGCUCAUACAUGUGCUUGUGUACACUAUACUAAGUUUUGUCAACUGUUUAAACAAGUAUCGUACACUUUAUAUGUAUGAUUAUCAAAUAUACUUGUUGUUUAUCCGUAUCUGCGGUUGUUAAGUUCAACCUUGGCAGAUAAUUGUAUCCGUAUAUCCGUAUGUUUGUUUAUCCGUAUCUGCGGUUGUGAAUUACAACCUUGGCAGAAAACUUUCUUCGUUACCCGUACAACCAUGGAUUUGGUUGCUUUCAAACAAAAUUUUAAGUAUGGAAUUACUUAUGGAACAUAACGUUUUAGCUUCAAAGAUUCAUUUCAAACACAAUUUUAAGUAUGGGAUUACUUAUGGAACAUAAUGUUUUGGCUUCAAAGAUUCAUUACAAACACAGUUUUAAGUAUGGAAUUACUUAUGAAACAUAACGUUUUGGCUUUCAAAGAUUCAUUACAAACACAGUUUUACGUAUGGGUUUACUUAUACAAACUAUACAUUUUGGCUUUUAAAGACUCAUUGCAAACACUGUUUAACUGUUGUUAUACAUACAAAGAUAAUACUUUUUAGACUUACUAAAAGUAUUACUACGUUAGCAGAAAACCUAUGACACUCACCAACCUUUGUGUUGACUUUCAAACUUACAUGUAUUCUUAGGGGAUCAUCAGACAGGCUUUCAAGAAGAAGAUUAGUCGUGGAUUGCAGACGAUCUAGCUAGCUUGUUCCUGUUAUUUGUUUAUCUGUUAAAGGCAACUACUGUACUAUUAUUAU